CUGCUAACACCCCCAGGAGCCUGAGAGAGGCUGGAGGGGUGGGGCCGUGUCCGGCCCGGGGGUGUGGGGUGGGGCGGCGGGGAAGUGGCUGCAGCAGCGCAUGAUCCCCCAAAGGCCGGGGCAGGCUAGGGAAAGAGGCGUGGGGCGAUGGGUGCGGGGACCACGGGGCCCGACGGCGGCACGGAGGCGCUGGCGCUGGACGCGGUGCUGGGCACGCUGCUGGCUGUGCUGCUGCUGCUGGCGGUCAAGGCAGCCGCGGAGCAGCUGCGGCGGCGGCGCGCCGGUGUGGCGGUGCUAGUGGUGGGCGCCGGGCCGGUGGGGCUGACGGCUGCGCUCGUCGCUGUCCGCACCGGCCGGGUGCUGAAGCUGACCGUGCAGGACGCGCGCGCGCGGGGCCCGCUGCUGGGACGCCCGCAGCAGAUUGCGCUGGACCCGCGCAGCGUCCGCUUCCUCAGGCCGCUGGGAGUGGACUUCGACAAUGUGGAGGGCUGCUGGCGCAACGGCCACUUUUUCACCAGGGUCGGCGUCUUCCAGGAGCACCUGCUCAGCCUCCUGGAAAGGAAGGGGCAGCGGCCUGGCUUCCGUCUUCUCCUGGGCACCAAGUUUACAGAUGACUUUAUGAGGAAGGUGGUGGUGCCAGACUGGCCCAAAAUCAUUGUGGUGGCUGAUGGCUCCCAUGGGGAGACCUGCUCUGUGCUGGGGCUCAGUCCAGAUUAUGUGGUGGAAUCCUGCAAUGCUUAUGGAGCUAAUGCUACCAUCACAAGACUGGAUCAGAGACAGGUUCCCACACCAGAAAUCCGAGCCCACAACCUCUACCUGGAUCUCUCUGCUUAUGGGAUCGAGGUCACCUCUGUAGCAAAGGAAGCCCCAAGCUUGCCUCAAGCGGUUGAACAGCCAGGUUUCCACCUGAAAAUCUAUGGAACCUUCCGUAACCGAUAUAUGGCUUUGGCAUGUCCAGCUUCUGAUUCCAAAGUUGUUCGAUUUCUCCGCCAUACUCUCAGCCCCUCAAUAAUGAAGUCCAUCUUCCACCAAGCAUUCAACACCUACAAGAUGGACAUUGAGCCUCGCGUGAGGGACACCGCGAUGCCUCGAGUGCAGUGCAGCAGGAAGCUGUUUGAGAUUGUUCUGUCCCACAGGCGGGCCACCGCAGCCUACAUCCAGGGAUCUGGGGUGAAUCUUGGGCUCCAGGGCCUGGAGUCUUUGGAUGAAUUCAUUUGCAAGAUUGCAACAGCUGUGGAUCAGAGCGACAUCUUGGAAGCUUUGGCUGCCAAAAUAAGACACUCUAAGCAGGUGGCGGAAGACUUUAAACGGAAUGGACUCCUCACCACAGUUUUCGAGUGACUGGGGGCAACACGACUGCCUCCCAGGGGGUCAUUCUUCUAGCUGUGGGGCAGAAAGUAUCCAGGAAUGAAGUUAGGCUGAAAUAGAAUUUCGAGAAUGGUGGCAAGUUAGCAGUUAUAUAGUAAAGCUACAUUGAAACAUGAGGCCUUUAAAUGUAAAUUAAAUGAAAUUUCCAAAUGUGAGGGUCUGAUUUGGAGAUUUCAGUGCAAUAGAAAUGAACUCACCAGGGAAGAGUGCCUCACUGUGGCCUAGAGAAAAUGAGCCCUGUUACUAAGUCCUGAAGACUCUCAUAAGAAAACAAAAUCAUUCUCUCCUAAUGCUUCAGGGAAUCAAGUUCUGUCUCUUUAAAGCAAAUGUGGCAGGAGGUUAACAAUUACUGUAUCUAGGUCUGUGUGUUGCAGGGGUGGUAAUUUGGACGUUGAUCGGACUUGUCUUAACUUUUCUUGAUGUUUGAAAAAUUUCAUAAUAAAACGUGUUGGGAGAAAGGAAUAAAGUAGAUC
ensembl:lncRNA